AGAGGAAUUUGGGUUAGCUUUAGAGUACUGAUGGUUUGGGCCAGUACUGACAUCACACAGAGGGGGCGCUGUGGAGGUACUCAUUAGCACUAAAUAGCAUCAGCUGAGGCUGCAGGUGGCUCCCAGGUUGUGAGACUGCAUUGAGAGUCUCUGGAGGUGAGACUCGUAGGAUUAACACGCAAGGAUUUGUUCAAGACACUGCUAUGAGAGGAAGCUUGGUUGUAAAUACACGAUGGAGAUGAACGCCUGGAAUCAAGGCGAGGGCUGAUCACCUGGACUGACGGUUCACCCACCGAGACGAGGAGCCGGCGCGGAGUGUCACUGAGGGAGGGCUGUUCGCCUACAAGGGCUGUGGACCUGUGUGUAGGAAAAAAUGUAAUCACAGCUGGUUAAACAAUUCAACAACACCUUUUGACCACAAACCUCAGGGCAUGGAAAAAAUAAAUCUUCUGUCAUCCUGUGCCGGAAAAGUACUUUUCAAGCCCCCAGGUCACCCCCCCCUGUACAUGAGGCCAAUCACGUGGAUAUCCGCCCUCCGACGGACCGCGUCUCACGCCCGGUGGUAUUUUUACCACGCUACAACCUGCUGCCGCGUGUGAACCAGGAAUGUUGUUUUCUUCUCCGUCUCGGAGCGUCACUGGGCUUCCUCCUCUCGCUCUCGUCUGAUUGCUGUCUCUCGCCCUGACGUUCAUCCCACCGUGCGGAGAUGGUCUUCGCUGCGCUGGACGGAGAUUACAGCCAGCUGUUCCUGUCUGCUGCUUAGCGUUUCAGCCAUCACACGUUCUCAUGUGCACACACGCACCCACAUACGCAUUAAAACAUAUUUCCAAACACAUGCAUCAUUCUUCUUUGCUGGCAAAGUGAAACAGACACUUUUUCCAAACUCAGAGUUGGUAAGAGGCCUCAGCUGUUGGAGUUGAAGUAAAUUGUCUCAAAAUGAUGUAUUGAAAUAUCGUUAGAAAUAUAAUCAAAGGCCCCCUUAUUAAUGAAGUACGGUCCUUUGCUCCGGUCUGUAUGGAAACGAGUUGCCUAACCUCCAAGAGACUUCCUGGAUCAAUAAAGGUGGAAAGAAACCUGAAAGAUAGUUAUAUUUAGUGAUAGUAUGUUUUACCGUGACUCAUCCACAUCGGCAGCAAAUCACAUGACUUCAGGUUGUAUAUAAAAAAAAAAGGUAUAAUUUAUGUAGCCUACAUUGGAUUUUAUUUAUCAUCUUUACCAGUCAGCCUCUCCCCAGCUGCACCCUAACCCUCCGGGCCGGUGGCGGUCCCCAGCAGGUACUGGGCCGCGCUAAUUCAUGUUUAAAUCCACAUAGCGUGCAUGCUAUGUUGCCUUAGCGUGACCUGGUUUGAAUUUCAGAAUAUAAGCGACUGGCUUCCCAUACUGACAGCUGAUGAUGUCAUGGAAACUCUGCUGACUGCACUUAAAAAAACGAAAAAAAUGGAGAAUGAUUUGUAAUGAAAUGCAGCC
ensembl:lncRNA